rnacentral:rRNA from 1 species
GAUGAACGCUGGCGGCGUGCCUAAUACAUGCAAGUCGAACGAAACUUCUUUAUCACCGAGUGCUUGCACUCACCGAUAAAGAGUUGAGUGGCGAACGGGUGAGUAACACGUGGGCAACCUGCCCAAAAGAGGGGGAUAACACUUGGAAACAGGUGCUAAUACCGCAUAACCAUAGUUACCGCAUGGUAACUAUGUAAAAGGUGGCUAUACUACCGCUUUUGGAUGGGCCCGCGGCGCAUUAGCUAGUUGGUAGGGUAAAGGCUUACCAAGGCAAUGAUGCGUAGCCGAAUUGAGAGGUUGAUCGGCCACAUUGGGACUGAGACACGGCCCAAACUCCUACGGGAGGCAGCAGUAGGGAAUCUUCCACAAUGGGCGAAAGCCUGAUGGAGCAACGCCGCGUGGGUGAAGAAGGUCUUCGGAUCGUAAAACCCUGUUGUUAGAGAAGAAAGUGCGUGAGGGUAACUGUUCACGUUUCGACGGUAUCUAACCGGAAAGCCACGGCUAACUACGUG